rnacentral:piRNA from 1 species
UGGAUGCCUGAGAAUCUGAGUGGAGUUGGU